rnacentral:rRNA from 1 species
CAGUAGCCGCGGGAAUACGUAGGUGGCGAGCGUUGUCCGGAAUUAUUGGGCGUAAAGGGAGCGCGGGCGGACAUAUAAGUCCAUCUUAAAAGUGCGGGGCUCAACCCCGUGAGGGGAUGGAAACUGUAUGCCUUGAGUGCAGGAGAGGAAAGCGGAAUUCCCAGUGUAGCGGUGAAAUGCGUAGAUAUUGGGGGGAACACCAGUGGCGAAGGCGGCUUUCUGGACUGUAACUGACGCUGAGGCUCGAAAGCCAGGGGAGCGAACGGGAUUAGAUACCCCAGUAGUCCCUGUCUCUUAUACC